rnacentral:rRNA from 1 species
UACGUACCGUACGAACGUUAUUCGGAAUCACUGGGCUUAAAGAGUCCGUAGGCGGCUUUAAAGGUGAGGUGUGAAAUCCCACGGCUUAACCGUGGAACUGCGCUUCAAACCAUAAGGCUUGAGGGAGAUAGAGGAAAGCGGAACUGAUGGUGGAGCGGUGAAAUGCGUUGAUAUCAUCAGGAACACCGGUGGCGAAGGCGGCUUUCUGGGUCUCUUCUGACGCUGAGGGACGAAAGCUAGGGGAGCGAACGGG